UUACCCGCUUGAAAUUAAGCAUAUCAGUAAGCGGAGGAAAAGAAACUAACCAGGAUUCUCCUAGUAACGGCGAGUGAACGGAGAUUAGCCCAUCACCGAAGUCUAUCCGCUCUUGUGGACAGGACAAUGUGGUGUUCGGGCGUGCACCUGGGAGCGCUUGCCUACUCGAAGUCCAGCUCUGAUUUUGGCUUCGACACAAUCCAAAGCGGGUGAAAGGCCCGUUUGAGUAGGCUGAAUGCAAUAAGCGAUCCUCAGAUGUGUGCGCCUUCGAGUCGGAUUGCUUGAGAAUGCAGUCCAAAGAGGGUGGUAAACUCCAUCCAAGGCUAAAUACUGGCACGAGUCCGAUAGUAGACAAGUACCUUGAGGGAAAGUUGAAAAGUACUCUGAAGAGAGAGUAAAUAGUACGUGAAGCUGCUUGCAGGGAAGCUGGUGGAGUCAAGCUUCUUGUCAAUGGAAUUGAUCACAGAGUUUUGUGUCUCGGGACGUGACGUUGGUUGAUCUGGAAACGAUUGGGUGCAUUCACCUGCACUCCAAGACGUUCUGGGCAGAAUGUUUGUGCUGACGUCUAUCUCCCUUCUCUGUGAUUGUAUUCCAUUGGCAUACAUCAUGGUCGAUAGUGGUUGCUUUCUGAUGUGUACUGUGUGAGCGCUUAACCGUGCUUUCGCCUGCUUCACGGCAGGCUGAGCAUGGAACGGCAGAAGGCACAUGCCGGGCUUGCCUUGUAUUGUGCGUAUUAUGGAUUUGUCCUGCUAGUGCUCACGCAUUGUAUCGACCCUAUCGCUCCUUCAAGCAACCUGAUCCAUGGAUCUGGUUGCGCUGAGAACCAUGAUGCUGAGGUAGACUUUCCACCCGACCCGUCUUGAAC
rnacentral:rRNA from 1 species